GAUGAACGCUAGCUACAGGCUUAACACAUGCAAGUCGAGGGACCGGCGCAUGGGUGAGUAGCACGUAUCCAACCUGCCCUUUACUCGGGGAUAGCCGUUAGAAAGAAAGAUUAAUAACCGAUGAAAAGGAUGGGGAUGCGUUCCAUUAGGUUGUUGGUGAGGUAACGGGUCACCAAGCCUUCGAUGGAUAGGGGUUCUGAGAGGAAGGUCCCCGACAUUGGAACUGGGCCCCGAUCCAAACUGCUAGGGGAGGCAGCAGUGAGGAAUAUUGGGAAAUGGGCGUUAGCCUGAACCAGCCAAGUAGCGUGAAGGAUGAAGGCUGAUGGGUCUUAAACUUCUUUGAUAUAAGAAGAUGUAUUAUAUGAAUAAGGAUCGGCUAACUCCGUGCCAGCAGCCGCGGUAAUUC
rnacentral:rRNA from 1 species